rnacentral:rRNA from 1 species
UGAGGAAUAUUGGUCAAUGGGCGAGAGCCUGAACCAGCCAAGUAGCGUGCAGGAUGACGGCCCUAUGGGUUGUAAACUGCUUUUAUAAGGGAAUAAAGUGAGUCUCGUGAGACUUUUUGCAUGUACCUUAUGAAUAAGGACCGGCUAAUUCCGUGCCAGCAGCCGCGGUAAUACGGAAGGUCUGGGCGUUAUCCGGAUUUAUUGGGUUUAAAGGGAGCGUAGGCCGGAGAUUAAGCGUGUUGUGAAAUGUAGACGCUCAACGUCUGCACUGCAGCGCGAACUGGUUUCCUUGAGUACGCACAAAGUGGGCGGAAUUCGUGGUGUAGCGGUGAAAUGCUUAGAUAUCACGAAGAACUCCGAUUGCGAAGGCAGCUCACUGGAGCGCAACUGACGCUGAAGCUCGAAAGUGCGGGUAUCGAACAGGAUUAGAUACCCUGGUAGUCCGCACGGUAAACGAUGGAUGCCCGCUGUUGGUCUGAAUAGGUCAGCGGCCAAGCGAAAGCAUUAAGCAUCCCACCUGGGGAGUACGCCGGCAACGGUGAAACUCAAAGGAAUUGACGGGGGCCCGCACAAGCGGAGGAACAUGUGGUUUAAUUCGAUGAUACGCGAGGAACCUUACCCGGGCUUGAAUUGCAGAGGAAGGAUUUGGAGACAAUGACGCCCUUCGGGGCCUCUGUGAAGGUGCUGCAUGGUUGUCGUCAGCUCGUGCCGUGAGGUGUCGGCUUAAGUGCCAUAACGAGCGCAACCCCUCUCCUUAGUUGCCAUCAGGUUAAGCUGGGCACUCUGGGGACACUGCCACCGUAAGGUGUGAGGAAGGUGGGGAUGACGUCAAAUCAGCACGGCCCUUACGUCCGGGGCUACACACGUGUUACAAUGGCAGGUACAGAGAGACGGUCCCUUGCAAAAUGGAUCAAAUCCUUAAAGCCUGUCUCAGUUCGGACUGGGGUCUGCAACCCGACCCCACGAAGCUGGAUUCGCUAGUAAUCGCGCAUCAGCCAUGGCGCGGUGAAUACGUUCCC